rnacentral:rRNA from 1 species
UACGUAUGGUGCAAGCGUUAUCCGGAUUUACUGGGUGUAAAGGGAGCGUAGACGGAGUGGCAAGUCUGAUGUGAAAACCCGGGGCUCAACCACGGGACUGCAUUGGAAACUGUCAAUCUGGAGUACCGGAGAGGUAAGCGGAAUUCCUAGUGUAGCGGUGAAAUGCGUAGAUAUUAGGAGGAACACCAGUGGCGAAGGCGGCUUACUGGACGGUAACUGACGUUGAGGCUCGAAAGCGUGGGGAGCAAACAGG